rnacentral:lncRNA from 13 species
GGCGUAAUGCGAGUGGAGCAUGCGCAGAUGAGACUCCAUCUGCCAGGAGCAGCUUUCCUGCGCCUUGGAGGAUAUCUUCGUCAUGGCUCCUAGACUUCCGUUUAUCCCUGCUGCUUAUCUGGGUUGCAACCUGCAGUCUGGCCAUCCUGCAGGCUGGGAAGCACAGCCUCUGGCAGAAACUGCAAUGGAGCACUUCAGAGAAGGAAGGACAAGACAGGAAUUUCAGCUGAACAGAUGGAAUCUCUCUCUGUUGCUCGGGCUGGAGUGCCGUAGCGCAAUCUCGGCUCACUGCAACCUCCGCCUCCUGGGUUCUUGGAAUUCUCCUGCCACAGCCUCCCGUGUAGCUGGAACUACAGUAAUUGGUGUGGAUGCCCAGAAGAACUGAAUUAAUUGCAUGAGCAAACUUACCAUAUUGUUUAGGUUAGUUUUAGACCAAGUAGGGAAAAUGUAAUUGGACUAGUGUAUAAAGAAGUUAUUUUGUAGUUCAUUUCUUCAUUCUUUCAAACAUCCACUAAAUUUUGUUUAAUGAAAAUAUUUUUUCUAUGUGCCAAGCAAGCAUUACUCUAGGUUCUUGGGAUAGAGUGGUGAAUCUGUUAUCUAUUGACACAUUAAUUCUGUGAAUCAUUAUUAACAAUAGCAAAAACUAUCUACACAUUUACUACUGCUCAUAAGCCUAUGGGGCACCUAGGUUGCCUGCUGUUGUCUGAGCUCACUCACAAAUCUGCAGUCAGGUACAGUGGGGGUGCACAGCUGAGCUAAUCUUGGCUGGACCUUCUCACUUGUUUUGGGGAUUAGUUGGCUGUUGAUUACGUAGGAUAUCCUCUCCUAGGACAACUAGACUCUCUCCUAUGGUCUUUCAUCUUCUGCUUAGCCAGAGUUUUAUCUCCUAGUAAAGCCAGACAACUAAAGAGGAAGAGGUAAGUACUUGAACCUAUGCUUAGAAGUGACCUACUAUCAGUUCUUACGCAUUCUAUUAGCUAAAGCAAAUUAAAAGACAGUCUAGAUUUCAGGGCUGAGGUGCUAGACUACCUCUUCCAGGAUGAGGUGCAAAGCCACAUUGUAAGAAUACAGGAAGGGGAAUAAUAAAGGCUAUUUUUACAGUUAAUCUUCCA